AUUGAACGCUGGCGGCAUGCUUUACACAUGCAAGUCGAACGGCAGCGCGGGCUUCGGCCUGGCGGCGAGUGGCGAACGGGUGAGUAAUACAUCGGAACGUGCCCAGUAGUGGGGGAUAGCUCGGCGAAAGCCGGAUUAAUACCGCAUACGACCUGAGGGUGAAAGCGGGGGAUCUUCGGACCUCGCGCUAUUGGAGCGGCCGAUGGCAGAUUAGCUAGUUGGUGGGGUAAAGGCCUACCAAGGCGACGAUCUGUAGCUGGUCUGAGAGGACGACCAGCCAGACUGGGACGUAGAAACGGGGCAGACGGGUGAGGGAGUCAGCAGUGGGGAAGUUGGGAGAAUGGGGGGAAUCCUGAUUCAGAAAGGCCGAGGGCGGGAAGAAGACCUUCGGUUUGUAAACCGCGUUGGGACGGGAGGACAGCCACAGGGCUAAUACGCUAGGGGGAUGCCGGUACCGGAAGAAGAAGCACCGGCUAACUACGAG
rnacentral:rRNA from 1 species